CCCUUAAAUGUCCUGGGCCGCACGCGCGCUACACUGAGUGUCUGAGAUACGAGUCUGCCUGGUCCGGCAAGGUCUAGGUAAUCGCUAAAAGACACAUCAUGCUUGGGAUAGAUUAUUGCAAAUAUUAAUCUUGAACGAGGAAUUCCUAGUAAGCGCAAGUCAACAGCUUGCGUUGAUUACGUCCCUGCCCUUUGUACACACCGCCCGUCGCUACUACUGAUUGGAUGUUUAAGCGAGGUUCUCGAACUGCUAGCGACUUAGCUUCGGUGAGGUCGCAGUGUGGGAAGUGAACCUAGCUUUGGUGUCUAGAGGAAGUAAAAGUCGUAACA
rnacentral:rRNA from 1 species